AUUGAACGCUGGCGGCAGGCUUAACACAUGCAAGUCGAGCGGGGUGAUGGUGCUUGCACUAUCACUUAGCGGCGGACGGGUGAGUAAUGCUUAGGAGUCUGCCUAUUAGUGGGGGACAACAUCUCGAAAGGGAUGCUAAUACCGCAUACGUCCUACGGGAGAAAGCAGGGGAUCACUUGUGACCUUGCGCUAAUAGAUGAGCCUAAGUCGGAGUAGCUAGUUGGUGGGGUAAAGGCCUACCAAGGCGACGAUCUGUAGCGGGUCUGAGAGGAUGAUCCGCCACACUGGGACUGAGACACUGCCCAGAGUCCUACGGGGGCAGCAGUGGGGAAUAUUGGACAAUGGGGGGAACCCUGAUCCAGCCAUGCCGCGUGUGUGAAGAAGGCCUUAUGGUUGUAAAGCACUUUAAGCGAGGAGGAGGCUCUUUUGGUUAAUACCCAAGAUGAGUGGACGUUACUCGCAGAAUAAGCACCGGCUAACUCUGUGCCAGCAGCCGCCGUAA
rnacentral:rRNA from 1 species